GUCAGAUGAUUUGAAUGAUAAUGCUGAUUCUCUGUGAGGUACGACAUUUAAUAGCAUGUUAGAGUUCUGAUGGCA
ensembl:snoRNA SNORD28 Small nucleolar RNA SNORD28